UACGUAGGGGGCAAGCGUUGUCCGGAAUCAUUGGGCGUAAAGAGCGUGUAGGCGGCCCGAUAAGUCCGCUGUGAAAGUCCAGGGCUCAACCCUGGAAUGCCAGUGGAAACUGUCGGGCUGGAGUCCGGAAGAGGCGAGUGGAAUUCCUGGUGUAGCGGUGAAAUGCGCAGAUAUCAGGAGGAACACCAAUGGCGAAAGCGGCUCUCUGGAACGGUACUGACGCUGAGACGCGAAAGCGUGGGGAGCGAACAGG
rnacentral:rRNA from 1 species